rnacentral:tRNA from 1 species
AAAGAAUUAGUUAAAUUGGAUAAUAUUAGAUUGUCAGUCUAAAGUAACUAUUAAAAAUUAGUAUUCUUUG